UACAGAGGGGGCAAGCGUUGUUCGGAUUUACUGGGCGUAAAGGGCGCGUAGGCGGCCUGCUAAGUCGAACGUGAAAUCCCUGGGCUCAACCCAGGAACUGCGUCCGAUACUGGUUGGCUUGAAUCCGGGAGAGGGAUGUGGAAUUCCAGGUGUAGCGGUGAAAUGCGUAGAUAUCUGGAGGAACACCGGUGGCGAAGGCGACUCACUGGCCCAUUACUGACGCUGAGGCUCGAAAGCGUGGGGAGCAAACAGG
rnacentral:rRNA from 1 species